AACGAACGCUGGCGGCAUGCUUAACACAUGCAAGUCGAACGAAACCUCCGGGCUUUUUUGCGCUCGGGUGCGUAACGCGUGGUAACUUGCCCUUAGGUACGGAAUAACUCCCUGUAAGGGAUGUUAAUACCAGUUAAUCUCAUCGGACCUAAGAUCUAUUGCUUUAGGAUGGGCCCGUGUUGGAUUCGGCGGUUGGUAGUGUAAUAGCCUAUCAUGGCGAUGUUCCAUAGCUGGUCUGUUAGGAGGAUCAUCCACGCUGGGACUGAGACACGGCCCAGAAUCCUACGCGAGGCAGCAGUGGAGUAUAUAAGAGGAUGGGCGAAAGCCUGAUCCAGCAGUGCCGCGUAAGUGAUGAAGGCCUUAGGAUUGUGAAGCUCUUUUACACGGGAUGAUAAUGACAGUACCGGGAGAAUAAGCUCCGGCUAACUCCGUG
rnacentral:rRNA from 1 species